AUAUCGAGUGCAUGACCAGGAGGAAUAUGUUUUCCACUUAGCAAGUCCAAAAGGACAGUUCCAUAGCUGAAAACAACACUUUCUUGAGUGACUCUUCCAUUUCUUAAAUACUCAGGAGGUGUAUACGCAAGGUUCGUGCUAUAACUUUUACCAUCCCUGCUAUUUUUCAUCAGCCCAAAACAAGAAAGACGGGGAUCGCCACUCUCGUCAAAGAGAACUCUAUAUGCAUUCAAGUCAUGGUAUAGUGGUCGACCUUCACUGCUACAGUAGUCCAAUGCUUCAGCAAUAUAUAGAGCCACUCUUAAACGCAUAGCCCACUCAAGG
rnacentral:misc_RNA from 1 species